AUUCCAAGGAUACAGAUAAUUGCAAGACACAGGCAAAGCAGAGAGAAAUCUGAGACAACCAACACAGCUGCUCAGGCCCUUCCUACCACAUUAGAAUGAUCCUCGGCCCUGAUUUAAAAUAUGAGGUCUUCAUUUAAGUGAUAAAUAAAUGUGGGGGCCUCACUUAAGCAUAGCUAGUUAUUUUGAUCAAUAUCUUGCUCUCUCCCUUUUAUUCUUUGAUAAUUAAAUAGCAGACACUAGACAGUGAAAUUUUCCACUGGUCCAUGCCCCAUAAACCCUUAAAUUCCAGGUUUGUUGACUAUAAGCCAUCUAGAAAGACCAGGUAUAUCUUGUUAAUAGAUAAGGACUCUCAGUCGUUCUCCUCCAAUAAAUACCAUGAGGACGUCUGAGUAGCAUGUUUACAGAGAGGUUUGACCAAGUCAUUUGUCCUUGGGUAUCACCAAGAUAGGAAGAAUGGAUUAAAGAUAGGCUGCUAACUCUUUCCUUCCUAGCAACCUAGGAUUUAGACCUCUCAGAAAUGAAGGCCUGAAUCGCCCCACCAGACAAAUGGCUUAGACAAAAUGCAGUGCUGAUCCAUCAUGACAGAAUCUAGAAGAUGUGGUGGAAGAGAGAGAUGAAUAUCAGUAAUGGUAUUGGGACCAAGCUGCAAUGGGGACUGUGGCUUGUUCCACUAACCAUACUGUAUCAAGACUUUUAUAGAGAUUGUGGCUGAAUCCUUGCUGAAGGACUCAAUGACUAGGUGGAACUUAAUAUGGGAAUGAGCAUAUUUAAGAAGCACAAGGAUUGUGCAGUAGCAGAUGUCAAUAUCACAUCUUUCAGUCUGAGCUUCACUGUACAAUCUCAUGUAAACAUAAACACACUUUAUUCUGCCAUAAUCUCAUCUCAAGCACGGGCCAUGCAUCCUUCUGCAUUCAGUCCAAGUCUUUUCUGAUUCUGUUUACCCCAAAGAAAAUAACAGCCCAUAAUUGCAGAAAGUCAUUGCCAGCCCUGGUGGUCUAGUGGUUAAGAUUCGGUGCUCUCAUUGAUGUGGCUUAUGUUCAUUUUCUGGUCAGGAAACCACACC
rnacentral:lncRNA from 1 species